rnacentral:rRNA from 1 species
CACCGCGGUUAUACGAGAGGCCCGAGUUGACAGAUACCGGCGUAAAAUGUGGUUAUUACAGUAUUUCACUAAAGCUAAACAUCUUCAAAGCUGUUAUAUGCUAUCGAAGACAGGAAAAUCUCCUACGAAAGUGGCUUUAACAUCUAUGUACCACGAAAGCUAGGGAA